UAUUAUUUAAAAUGUAAAUUUCAAAAAUUAAAGUAGUAAUAGUUAUGUUCUUGAAACUUAAAAAAUUUGGCGGUAUUUUAGUCUAUCCAGAGGAACCUGUUUUAUAAUCGAUAAUCCACGAUGGACCUUACUUAAAUUUGUUUAUCAAUUUAUAUACCGUCGUUAUCAGAAUAUUUUAUAAGAAUAAUAAUAUUCAAUAAUUUUUAAAAAAAUUUAUAUCAGAUCAAGGUGUAGUUUAUGUUUAAGUUUUAAUGGGUUACAAUAAAUUUAUUUAUAUGGAUAAAAUUAUGAAAAAAUUUUUGAAAGUGGAUUUGGUAGUAAAAUUAUAAAGAUUAAUAAUUUGAUUUUAGCUCUAAAAUAUGUACACAUCGCCCGUCACUCUUAUUAUUAAGGUAAGAUAAGUCGUAACAUAGUAGAUGUACUGGAAAGUGUAUCUAGAAUGA
rnacentral:rRNA from 1 species